rnacentral:tRNA from 1 species
AACAAAGUAGUUAAUAAAUAGAAUAAAAAUUUUGCGUAUUUUAGGAGAGUAUUUACUCCUUUGUUA